rnacentral:rRNA from 1 species
GAUGAACGCUGGCGGCGUGCUUAACACAUGCAAGUCGAACGGUGAAGCCCAGCUUGCUGGGUGGAUCAGUGGCGAACGGGUGAGUAACACGUGAGCAACGUGCCCCAGACUCUGGGAUAACAGUUGGAAACAGCUGCUAAUACCGGAUACGAGACGUGGCCGCAUGGUCGACGUUUGGAAAGAUUUUUUGGUCUGGGAUCGGCUCGCGGCCUAUCAGCUUGUUGGUGAGGUAAUGGCUCACCAAGGCGUCGACGGGUAGCCGGCCUGAGAGGGUGACCGGCCACACUGGGACUGAGACACGGCCCAGACUCCUACGGGAGGCAGCAGUGGGGAAUAUUGCACAAUGGGCGGAAGCCUGAUGCAGCAACGCCGCGUGAGGGAUGACGGCCUUCGGGUUGUAAACCUCUUUUAGCAGGGAAGAAGCGGAAGUGACGGUACCUGCAGAAAAAGCGCCGGCUAACUACGUGCCAGCCGCCGCAGUAAAAC